rnacentral:rRNA from 1 species
AUUGAACGCUGGCGGCAGGCCUAACACAUGCAAGUCGAGCGGCAGCGACUUAACUGAACCUUCGGGGAACGUUAAGGGCGGCGAGCGGCGGACGGGUGAGUAAUGCCUGGGAAUAUACCCUGAUGUGGGGGAUAACUAUUGGAAACGAUAGCUAAUACCGCAUAAUCUCUUCGGAGCAAAGAGGGGGACCUUCGGGCCUCUCGCGUCAGGAUUAGCCCAGGUGGGAUUAGCUUGUUGGUGAGGUAAUGGCUCACCAAGGCGACGAUCCCUAGCUGGUCUGAGAGGAUGAUCAGCCACACUGGAACUGAGACACGGUCCAGACUCCUACGGGAGGCAGCAGUGGGGAAUAUUGCACAAUGGGGGAAACCCUGAUGCAGCCAUGCCGCGUGUGUGAAGAAGGCCUUCGGGUUGUAAAGCACUUUCAGUAGGGAGGAAGGUAGUGCAGUUAACACCUGCAUUAUUUGACGUUACCUACAGAAGAAGCACCGGCUAACUCCGUGCCAGCAGCCGCGGUAAUACGGAGGGUGCGAGCGUUAAUCGGAAUUACUGGGCGUAAAGCGCAUGCAGGCGGCCUGUUAAGUCAGAUGUGAAAGCCCGGGGCUUAACCUCGGAAUUGCAUUUGAAACUGGCAGGCUAGAGUCUUGUAGAGGGGGGUAGAAUUUCAGGUGUAGCGGUGAAAUGCGUAGAGACCUGAAGGAAUACCAGUGGCGAAGGCGGCCCCCUGGACAAAGACUGACGCUCAGAUGCGAAAGCGUGGGGAGCAAACAGG